GCAGUGGGGAAUAUUGCACAAUGGGCGAAAGCCUGAUGCAGCAACGCCGCGUGAGGGAAGACGGUUUUCGGAUUGUAAACCUCUGUUUUCGGUGACGAACAAAUGACGGUAACCGAGUAGGAAGCCACGGCUAACUACGUGCCAGCAGCCGCGGUAAUACGUAGGUGGCAAGCGUUAUCCGGAAUUACUGGGUGUAAAGGGAGCGCAGGCGGGAUAGCAAGUCAGCUGUGAAAACUAUGGGCUCAACCCAUAAACUGCAGUUGAAACUGUUAUUCUUGAGUGGAGUAGAGGCAAGCGGAAUUCCGAGUGUAGCGGUGAAAUGCGUAGAUAUUCGGAGGAACACCAGUGGCGAAGGCGGCUUGCUGGGCUUUAACUGACGCUGAGGCUCGAAAGUGUGGGGAGCAAACAGGAUUAGAUACCC
rnacentral:rRNA from 1 species